GCCCGGCCAGACACCCAGCGGGAAGGCCCAGGCUGGGGGGCACACAGACCCCAGGCGCUGCAUGAUGCUCUGGCUGGGAAGGGGACGGAAGGGAAGUCGAUUUCUAUGGAGUCAGGGUUGCGGGUGCCUCAGUUGGGACCAUCUGUUGAAACAGGCUCAGAGAGUAACCAAUAGGAACAAUCAACUCUACAAAAUAGUUUCAAGACCAUACUUAAAGGAGCAUGUCAGACAUCCCCGUCUUCCUGUGUGUGUUGCAAGUUCCUCGAGGCCAUACCUUAUAUCCUAUUGAGCAGGACCACGACUGUAAUUAAAAAAAAAAAAAAAAAGCACAAUGAUUCUGUGAUAAAC
rnacentral:lncRNA from 1 species